rnacentral:tRNA from 1 species
CGCAGGUUGGAGCAGUUGGUAGCUCGCUAGGUUCUUAUCCUAGAGGUCAUUGGUUCGAAUCCAAUACUUGCAA